rnacentral:RNase_P_RNA from 1 species
AGUAGCAGGUGAUUGGCUAUCGGUUUCGAGAGUUCUCUCUCGUUAAACUGAGGAAAGUCCGCCCACUCGCAAAAACAUAUCUUACAAAACCUUGUGUUUUGUGAGGCCUCGCAGAAUCUUUGAUUCUGCAAGGUGCUCCGAGAGGAGGCCUCAAGGAACAGAAACGAUACCCUUGCUUAGGCAAGGGAUGAAACGUGCCUUGAGCAGAGUGCAAGCCCUUGUGGUGCUAAGUCGAAUGCCAAUGCGACCGGUUUCGAAAGAAACAAAAACCCUUGAUUUAUGGUUUUGGUCAGAACAGAAGGCGGCUUAUGGCCUGCUGCU